rnacentral:rRNA from 1 species
UACGUAGGGUGCGAGCGUUUAAUCGGAAUCACUGGGCGUAAAGGGCGCGUAGGCGGCUCAGUAAGGUUGCGGUGAAAGCCCGGGGCUCAACCCCGGGUCGGCCGUGGCAACUGCUGGGCUGGAGCACUGUAGAGGCAGGUGGAAUUCCGGGUGUAGCGGUGGAAUGCGUAGAUAUCGUAAGGAAGACCAGUGGCGAAGGCGGGUCUCUGGACAGUUCCUGACGCUCAGACACGACAGCAUGGGGAGCGAACGGG